AGCUCUGGAACAGGAGCUCAGACCCAGGAUCUCCAGGUGACCCCAUUCCCUGACCAGGACUGAACACAGACCACUCACCAUGGAGUUUGGGCUCAGCUGGGUUUUCCUUGUGGCUAUUUUAAGAGGUGUCCAGUGUGAGGUGCAGCUGGUGGAGUCUGGGGGAGGCGUGGUGCAGCCUGGGGGGUCUCUGAGACUCUCCUGUGCAGCCUCUGGAUUCACCUUUAGUAACUACUGGAUGCACUGGGUCUGCCAGGCUCCAGGGAAGGGGCUGCAGUGGGUGGGUCAAAUUAGUACUGAUGGAGGGAGCACAUACUAUGCGGACGCUGUGAAGGGCCGAUUCACCAUCUCCAGAGACAACUCCAAGAACACGCUGUAUCUGCAAAUGAACAGCCUGAGAGCCGAGGACACGGCCGUGUAUUACUGUGCGAGAGACACAGUGAGGGGAAGUCAGUGUGAGCCCAGACACAAACCUCCCUGCAGGAGAGUCUGUGACCACCUGGGGGCGCCCAGGGUCCUUGAACACAGAGACCAUCCCAGGAGCAGCACCCAGAGAAGUUGA